GAGAACUUAUGGACCAUGGAAAGAUGUUGCACCAUCUAGAAAAUGUCCAAUAAUGCCACAAAAUGCAGAGAGAAUAAAAAGUGAAGAUUAUAUAAGUAUGAUGAUAGAAAAAAAAAUUAUUGAAUUAUCAACUUAUGAUUAUCUUAUAUUUUAGUAUUAGGAUUUGAUGUACCAGUUGUGCCCUUGGUUGUAUCCAUAUUCGAAACGUUCACACCUGGAUCUGUUGUGCGUAUAUCAGGAAAAGUUAUUGACCUUCCUGAUUCGAUGGCGUGGCGACUACUGUGGGAAGGAUUGCCUCAAAAUUGUAAUGGUUUAAGAUACUCAAGAUUGUUUGCUCCUAAAUUAAAAGUCAUUAAAGAACGGGUCAAGUAAGAUAAACAUAUACUGCUGUAAGACAAUGAAAGUUGCGAAUAACAUUAAUAUUCAAAUAUUAUGCGUGUAGUCAGAUAUGUAUAGAGUUCAAUCAUUCUCAAUUGAACUACUAUACCGAGUUGGAUGCCGUAUCUCUGGGAGGCAUUUUGAAAUAUCCUGAAACUGGUGAACUUGAAAUCUUUUCAAUACCUUUGGUGACUCAUACAAGAUCAGGAUAUGUUUAUGAUAACAACGAAGAAGACAACCAAACACUAUUGACAGAAAUUAGAGUUCCUUCAGUGGCUUCAAAAGUGAUUUUCUCCAAUAGUUUCAUUUUUCUAGAUUAUUUAUGUAUAACAAUAUAUGUAUUGUUUGUAGUUACCAAUGUCGACAAGUUUGGAUCCGUUUAUAGACCUUAUUAAAAACAUAGAAGAACUUGAAAAUGAGUGGCGCAAAAGUGUACCUGACAUAGAUCAUACUUUAAAAUUACCUGUAUGUAUUUUUUUUUUAUUUUAGUCGUGUUAAUAAAUGAAUCUUAAAAUUUGUAUUACUCACAUCAAUAAUAUAGGAUGAAACAUUAAUGCAUAUAUUUUCAUAUUUGGAUUUAAAAUCAUUGCGUCGGUGUUUAAGUGUUAGCAAACGCUUCAAUGCCAUUUGCAAAGACGGAUCUUUUUAUAGAGAACUAAAUUUCAAAGUAAGUACAGCAAUAUUCAUAAUGUAUGUACUUAUAAUUUAUUUUUUCUCUUUUGUAGCCUUAUUGGUCUACAUUUUCCUAUGAAAUGCUUAUGUCAGUAGAGCCUCAAUGUUCCCGAUUAGCAAAGUUGGAUUUAUCCUGGUGUGGUAUAACAAGAGGAAUAUUAAGUACAACAUUCAAUGUGUAUGCUAUUUGUGUUAAACAUGUAAUACUCACAAUAGUUACUAUUUGUUUUUAAUUUUUGAUAAAACAUUUUUAGAUUUAUAAAUAAAUGCGGUACCCAUUUAACUCACUUACGACUGGACAAUUGUAAAUUUGUCAAUGAUAGUUCGUUAAUUGCAAUAAAUUUGUUUUGCAAAUAUC
rnacentral:lncRNA from 1 species